UCCGAGUUGUCCCCGGCAGUCCUCUUAGAGUCCCCGGCAUUACCCGCUGGCAACUAAGAGCAGGGGUUGCGCUCGUUGCGGCACUUAAGCCAACACCUCACGGCACGAGCUGACGACAGCCAUGCAGCACCUGUGCAGGCUCCCGAAGGAGCCCCGUGUUUUCACGGGUUUACCCUGCAUGUCAAGCCCAGGUAAGGUUCUUCGCGUUUCGUCGAAUUAAGCCACAUGCUCCGCCGCUUGUGCGGGCCCCCGUCAAUUCCUUUGAGUUUCAGCCUUGCGGCCGUACUCCCCAGGCGGGGCACUUACUGCGUUAGCGACGGCACCGGGAGGGUCGCUCCCCCCGACGCCUAGUGCCCAUCGUUUACGGCGUGGACUAC
rnacentral:misc_RNA from 1 species